CCCUCCGUGGGUGUAGCGGUUAGCGCUGCUGUUUUGUGAAAUUCAGAGCGCGGGUUCAAUUCCCGGUGGGGUCA